UACGUAGGGUGCAAGCGUUGUCCGGAAUUAUUGGGCGUAAAGAGCUUGUAGGCGGUUUGUCGCGUCUGCUGUGAAAUUUCGGGGCUCAACCCCGAACUUGCAGUGGGUACGGGCAGACUAGAGUGCGGUAGGGGAGAUCGGAAUUCCUGGUGUAGCGGUGAAAUGCGCAGAUAUCAGGAGGAACACCGGUGGCGAAGGCGGAUCUCUGGGCCGUAACUGACGCUGAGGAGCGAAAGCAUGGGGAGCGAACAGG
rnacentral:rRNA from 1 species